UUUGACCUCGGAUCAGGUAG
rnacentral:rRNA from 17 species